rnacentral:rRNA from 1 species
AUUGAACGCUGGCGGCAGGCCUAACACAUGCAAGUCGAGCGGAUGAAGGGAGCUUGCUCCUGGAUUCAGCGGCGGACGGGUGAGUAAUGCCUAGGAAUCUGCCUGGUAGUGGGGGAUAACGUCCGGAAACGGGCGCUAAUACCGCAUACGUCCUGAGGGAGAAAGUGGGGGAUCUUCGGACCUCACGCUAUCAGAUGAGCCUAGGUCGGAUUAGCUAGUUGGUGGGGUAAAGGCCUACCAAGGCGACGAUCCGUAACUGGUCUGAGAGGAUGAUCAGUCACACUGGAACUGAGACACGGUCCAGACUCCUACGGGAGGCAGCCGUGGGGAAUAUUGGACAAUAGGCGAAAGCCUGAUCCAGCCAUGCCGCGUGUGUGAAGAAGGUCUUCGGAUUGUAAAGCACUUUAAGUUGGGAGGAAGGGCAGUAAGUUAAUACCUUGCUGUUUUGACGUUACCAACAGAAUAAGCACCGGCUAACUUCGUG